rnacentral:lncRNA from 1 species
CCAAAACUAUCUGGCUUGAAGAUGAUGUAAUCAAGUCCUUAAAAGCUAUAGACAUGAAUUUCUUCUGUGAUAAUCGUGCAUCAUAAUCUUCUGUCUCUCAGCGCGAAUGAUGCAGCUCAUACUGGGAGCCUCCAGGCUGCGGGAAAGCCGACGCGGAGAAGCAACCCGAGUCCGCCGGGAACAGGGUACGGGGGGAGAGCGCGGCUGCACGGCGACAGGCAGGCGACACGACUAGAGCAGGGAGAGCCCUCGGCUCGGGCGCAGCGCAGCCCCGUAGGCCUCCGGCGCGGAGGUGGAGCAGCCCGGGGUAGUCAGGCCUGCUACCGGGCGGAAAGCGGGAAGCCUCCCUCUCAGAAACCUCGCCCGGAACUGCGCUGACUCCGUGGGGAUCCGGGGGCGGGAGAAGGGCCGCUCUCUCUGCGGCAGGCCCCGCCCCUGCCCUCUGCUGUCUUCGGCCUCUAGUUGUUCUGGCGGAGAAAUGUGCCCCUGUUCCUCAUGACAAAUCCAGGUCUUCCUAGACAAAGUCGUUUUAAAACGUCGCUGCUGAUAAAUAAGGGUUGUUUGGAGCCUUGUCUGUUUAUUAUGUGUUUGUAUGUGAGAUGGCAUGAUGGGUUUCUGAUUCAUGGCUGGAGCCCUGAGUGCUCCUGCAGCAUCACCGUAACGAAAACAUGCAGUUGGAUCUGGGCUGAGGUUCCCUGCUUGUUUCCUGAUUAAAAGCGUAAUAGUCAUCUGGAAGGCAGGUGCAUGCCCUCUGUGCAACUUCCCUUUGUACUUUCUCAUGGUUCCAAGGCUGUUUGUGUUGGUCAGAUCUAGGAAAUCUAUAGGAGAUUAAGUUAGAUGCAGCGCCAGCGUCUUAACUGUCAAAUGUGUAAGACGUAUAUGAUAGUGCUCCUUUCUCUAGCAUUCUUCAAGAGUCCCAUUAUUUUAGAGCACGAGAGUUGGAUAGCCAUGAGGUCACCAGAAGAAAGCACUUCCUUAUGCUGAAAAUAAUUGUCUAAUGCGAAGUGAGCAGAGGCAUUAAGCCACCAGUAUGUUCCCCAGGUAUGUGAAUCCCACUGCUCUCUGGUGACGCACGUGGUAAUGCAGUACUCAUGCUGUGGCUGGGCCCUCUCUUAAGAGCCUUACAUUGCCUGUAGCAAACAUGACUGUUUUGGCUUCUCAUAUCCCUGCUCCUUUCAGUUCUUAAAUUACCAGCCACAACUCAGUGCCUGCCUUUCUGCUCUUUUCUUUCUUUUUCAAUGAAGCAUCUUAUUAAUGGUGUGCUAAUCAAAGGCACUUGUGGUAAAGCUGGGAGAGAGAGGGAGGUGAAGACAAGACAUAAGUUAUAUGAUCAAAUAAGGCUGUCUUGGGGAUGUUCCUUAGAAUCUCAGUAUUAGUCAAAAUGCUGUUACAAUAUUGUCAGGAAAGGAUUUGUCUUUAUAAUCACCAUUACCUUUCAUUAUCAGCUAUUGCUAGUGAUGUCAAAAAGCAAGUAUGGCAUAUUCUUUACAGCACAGAGUUAACAGAUGGCUAUCUCCCCUUGGUUUCACAGAGAUCACUGUGACAAGGGAUACUGGGCUUUUGCAAACUGGGGCUUAACUCUGAGUUCAGGCAGUGUCUUCUUGGGUCCAGUUGCAUUUUGGUCACCAAAACUCACUGCCCAAAAGAUUGCUUUCUAAUUAAUAUGAAAUUAGUUUACCUCAUUAAAACACCAUUGUUGCACCUAAGAUGUGGCUAUAUGUCCUGUGAAGACUUCUGAAACAUGCAAAUAAGUUUAUUACAGUGUGUUUCCUUCCACAUGAAACUUGUGCUUAAUGUUAAACACAAUUAUCAUUCUUCUUACAAAAGAGAGCAGUGGAGUGAGAAACAAACUCUCCUCAGCUGUCAUUUUUGUUCAAGAGAACAAAAUCCUUACUUCAGAAAGACAAGGUGUUACUCUUCCGGUUUUCUAAAUUGUUUGUUCUUUCAUAUCAAACUAUCCAGUGGUAGAAUUAACAUAAAACUACCUAGUGGUAGAAUUAACAUUGCACAUACAAAUACAUCUUUUGCUUGAGCUUUACUAGGAUCCAAGUAACUUAGCCAAAAGUGUGUCUAGAAAUCAGCAGCAAUUUUGCGUGAACAUCAUAAUAAUUUAAAUGACCAAUCCAAGGUGGCAGCUGCCCCAUUCCCUUUGUUACUGAACACUAAAAACUGGUUGAUAUACAUUAAAAACUGGUAGUUAAAACUUGACUGCUGGCAAGUACUGAAGUGUGUGAGAUCACUCUAUCUAGAUGAGGUGCCUGGUUGAGAAUAUUUAGGUACAGUAUGAGAGAACAGUGUUAGUAGCUGUGACCAUAAAUUUUACAAGCCAGUUUUAUAUCAAGUCUCUGUUCAUCCUUCUUAAGUGAUGCAAACAAUUUUCCUUCUAAAUUUUGUGAGACAUCACAGUGACCUUUGAGAUCACAUAGUAGUGUGUUGGAUGGAAAACCAGAUUCCCACACCAAGACUAUAAAUUACAUCUCAUCUAAUCUCCAUGAAAUAAACAGAAGUCUUUUUAAUUAAUUAAAUUGGAUUAGGUCCACAGGAAAAAUGCUCAUGAUUCUGUCAGAGCCACUAGUUAAAGUCUUAAAAAAAUACAUUUUUCUAACUACCUGUCUUUGAAGAAUCUAAUCUCAAAAACACAGCCUUUAGGAUGAAGUAUCAUGGGAAUUCCAGUCUGACAUGUGCCUUGCAUAGAGAACAUAGCUACAAUUUUUGAAAAAUUAUAGCUCUUGCAACUCUUUCAAGACAAUUUGCACCAUCUGACUGCCAGCACAUGCAUUCAGUACAUAGAGAUACUGCUUUAAUUUAUGUUACAAGUUAUCUUUACUUGCUUCUGACAGGUUUAACAGUAUUUAACCAACAUGUAACACCAAUCUGAAAGAGUGGAUGUGGAUAUGUAAACUGUGUAAUAGCAUGCACAAAGCAAUAUCUGCCAUGCUACUGCUCUCUGGGGAGACAAAUCAGAAUUGGAUGUGUAAGUCUGAUUCCCCAGCAAUGGUGAUGGUAUGUAUAGAGGAGGCUUGCUUUAAGUCUGGUCCAUUGAACUAUGUGUGUUCAGAAGAUUGGCCAGGAACCAUCCUUCAAAAAAUCUCCACUUUAUGGCUUUCCUGUAGAACUUGGAAUUUUGUUAUUGGUUAAAAUGAAAUGAACUCCUACCUGCUUUCAAGUUGUAUUAAAUUAUGGUUGCUAGGUGAUGAAAUUUGCAAAUAUGUUCUACUUGUCAAUUAUAAAAAUGAUGACCCAUUCCAUAUACCUGCGUUGUAUCUCUUUCUUGGCUUCAUAUGGACAAUAUUUUCUUAGGCAGAAGCAUCCUGCUCAGAGUGCUGCACUAGAAGGCUGUAAAACUGUUUGCUUUUAAAUUCUUUGUCUUCAUGAGCCUGCCAGCUUCUGGCUGGGAAGGCAAGUAAGAUUUUUGUGCUAUUUAUCCUUAGUGUUGCUUUUAUAAAAUAUGUUUGUUGACUUUACUGCAACAUGGUAGCUCCCAGUUAGCUUUUCCUUUUUCCCUUUCUUUCCUUUUCCCCUUUCUUUCCUUUUUCCCCCUUCUUUGCUUUUUCCCUUUCUUUCCUUUUUCCCUUUCCUUUUUCUCCUUUCUUUGCUUUUUCCCUUUCUUUCCCUUUCCCCUUUCUUUCCUUUUUCCUCUUUGUUUGCUUUUUCCCUUUCUUUGUUUUUUUCUACAUACUGAUGUAUCAUAAAAUGAUCAAUCAUUUUCUGUUUUUGCUACAUACUGAUUUUGCUAGUUAUGUAAGGCAUAAAAACAGCCCUUUGUCACCAAAAGCAGUGCAGCUGUUUCCAGAACCACGAGUCAUGUGCAUGACUUCUCUUUUUAAUUUCCCACUGGCUUUUUAAAAAUGUACUUUAAAUCAGUUUUGCUUUUCAACAAUGAAGAGAAGCAGCAAUAAGUUCUCCCAAGAACAGGAGAUUUGGCCAAAACAUUAAAUUUUCAUGGGAAGGUUGUGCUGUGAAAUUGUUUUAAACUCUGAUGUUGACACGAUGCUAUAGAAUAUGGGAGAAGUAUAUAUGAUUGCAUACAUAUAAAAUUCAGACUGGAGGCACUGAAAUUGUUGUCUCUGAGCAAUGAUGAAAUACAGAGACUGAGUGGCUGCUGAAGUUGUUUUAGAUAACCAGGCAGUCAAGACCUUCUCUGGCCAAGCUCGUAUCAGAGUGGUUAAAGUGUUUGCUACUGGAAUACCUAAAAGCAAAAAGCAAAAUGAUGUUAGCAGGGGUGGGGGGAGAAGAGAGGGGGGAAGAGGGGGGAGAAGGGAAAUUUAGGCUACAGUCCCACUCUCGUGGCAAUGUAUUCAUACAUAGUUAAUGAAUUAAAACUAUUAAAACUACUAAAGUGGCCUGAUUGGAAUAAUAAUGGACAGGGAUACAAGGCAAGCUCAUUGAAGUAUAUUGUAUAGUCAUGUCUGCAUUAAGGAGACUACCCUGAUGGUUAACCCCAGGUUUUCUUUGUCCUGUUUCUAUAGUAUUUCAAACAGAGGUAUGACAGCCUGGCUCUAGUACCAUAACUAUAACAUGAGAAUGUUCAUUUUUCAACCGUUUUGUUUUCCUCCAGCUUUUGCACCAGGAGCUGACUGCUACUGGCACGUACCUCCAAAUUCAUUGUGCUCUUCUGAAGUAAUGCCAUCCCAUUCCUAUUCUGUGUCCACAGGAUCACAUGUGGGGCUCAUUUUGGCAGAAAUCUGUCCUUAGCCUUUGAUGAUCAACCAUCUUCCAGUUGUGCAAAGUAGCUGCAGUUCUCUGUAGUUUCUUGUCUUCAUAAAAAUAGCAGGGAAAGAGAGUGAGAUCAAAGCUUGUUCAAAAAAAUAACCUCAUUCCUUGUCAGACGUUGUAUCUACACUUUAAAAUGUUCAGAUCCCUGUCAUUUAAUAUUAGUGACUGCAUGAUUUGCCACAAAAAUGCAGACAUUGCUGGAGGAAAGAAAGAGCACAAUGACCUGAAGCCAGAGUUAUGUGUGCAUGCAUGUAGUCCUGUACUGACCCAGAGCUGUCUGGCAUGUGUGUGCAGCCCAGCUUGAUAUCACGCUCUCCCCCCAUGGGCCACAAAGCUGAGCCAGAGCACUGCAUUACAAACGCAAAGAAAACAAGACGUGGUUCACUCUAAGUCAGCUGGCAGCCUGUGCCAGAUCUGAGAGAUGAGUUAGUUGCAGACUAGCCCAUUUACCACAAGGCUCAUAAGUAAGGAAUUUAUGACACUUCUGCUCAAUCCAACACCAUUUUAAAAAGUCACUGUGGUCCUUAGGUUUCCCAGGUUCCACACAAGCACUCAGAUACUCAACUCACUUAUAGUAUCACUUAUAUAUAUAUCUUAUAUAUCUUACAUAUAUAUCACUUAUAUAUAACUAUAGUUGUCAGUACUAUAGGGGAACAAUGGCUUUCCUGCAGUUUAGAUUGCAUUUGCUAAAGCCACAUGACUUGCACUCCUAAAAUUAGUCCAUAUAUUUGCACUCAUCUUCUCUAAGGCUUUCGGUCUGUUUCAUGUGCUGAAAACAACAGUAUGAACCUUCCUGGCUGCCGUGUUUGAGAUCAAAUAUAAAAAAUCCCGUGAAGAAUUAAUGAGUGAAAUGUGCAGGUGCUGUUAGUGUCAUGCAUCUCGCACACUUGCAUAAACUUCAACAAAUUUGUAACUUUUAGUAAAAAUAAAUGGCAGCGAUGUGACAAUGCAAGAAUGGCUGAAGCACUGCUGGAUACUUGUCAUGUAUGUUAUGAACAUUUCCAGUUUGCUUCAAAGGUUUUCAGUUUUGUUUGAAGUCUGGCAAGAAGCCUGGGGGGGAAAAAAACUCAUGCAAUGCAAAGCUUUUGUGGUGGAUAGUUUGAAGGUAAAAAUCAGUGGAUCUGCUUCAUUCCACAACAAUUGCAGGCAACCCAUUUAAUACAACAGAUACUAGAUUUUAGGUCAAACUAUCCCAGUGCACCCAGAAUUACAUAUAAGACAAACAGCAUUUAUUUUUCUCACUCUGGGCACAUAAAUAUUCACAUGUACACACCUAUGUGAGUUUUACUGAGAGAUAUAUUAGUGUGUAGAUGGGAGGUACACAUAAGCUGACUUUUUCCCAUUCCUUGGCACUGUGCAGGAUCAGGCCCUGGGUCAGCAUUUCAAAAAGCAAUGCUGUUGUUUAGCAACCAUUUUCUGCCUGGAUGAAAACAGAAACCUUGCAAAUCAUAAACAAAUACGCAGGUCUAUGCAAAGACCAAGUGAAAUAAAGUGAUAUCCCUUUGCCUAUCCCAGCCUGCUUCUUUUUUUUUUUUUUUUCAUGGUAAAAAUUUAUAUCAAGAAAAAGGCAGGAUAGGGCUUGGAACUCUUGAGGAGGGAUUUCAAAAGAAAGAAAAGAAAGAAAUAUGAUGCACUGGAAGUUUUCAGCCACUGUAGAACAUAACAAAUUUGGACUUUUAUAUUCAAAAUCUAAAAUGGAUUUAAAAUGUUUUUGGUUUUUUUUUCUUUUUGCUUCUGUAGUAAUGAAAAAUAUCUGUUCUUCCC